rnacentral:rRNA from 1 species
UACAGAGGGUGCGAGCGUUAAUCGGAACUACUGGGCGUAAAGCGUGCGUAGACGGCUAUCUAAGUCGGGUGUGAAAUCCCCAGGCUCAACCUGGGAACUGCAUUCGAGACUGCAUUGCUAGAGUAUGGGAGAGGGAAGUGGAAUUUCCGGUGUAGCGGUGAAAUGCGUAGAUAUCGGAAGGAACAUCAGUGGCGAAAGCGACUUCCUGGACCAAUACUGACGCUCAUGUGCGAAAGCGUGGGGAGCAAACAGG